rfam:Phaeodactylum tricornutum CCAP 1055/1 chromosome 6, whole genome shotgun sequence.
AAACCGGAUUUUUUAAAAUCCACCCCUUCAAUCAAAGUAAAAACG